UUGAGAAAACAAAAUAUAUAACAAACAGGUACGCAAAGUUUCGAGAGACGGUGAAAUUUGAGAGACAGUGAAAAAGUAUUUAAUGGCGGCUAAUAAACGUAUGCGCGAGAAAAAGAAUUUCAGAUAGCUAAUUAGUCAACCACUUCGGUCGAGUUUGAAUCGAGAUUCGCACGACUGAUUUAGAAUUCCCAACGCGUAUAUGCAAGAAGGCGUUAAUCCCUUAAGCAGUGAUAACACAACGGAACUUUAUAAUCCAGUUUCGAACGCGUGUUCUCUCGAGCGCGACCCUCCGCUUCUGUUCGCCCUCUUCCACCGGUUUCGCUUCUAUGGUCUCAUCAUGAAGCUCGUUUAUUCUUAUGUUUACAUUAAAUGCGAUCAAAUCAAGGAGAACAAGUAAGACAAAAAAAUUCCCUUAACAAAUACUGAAAAUUUAACAAGCAUAAAAAUUGGCAUUUGGUUACAUCCGCGAAACAUCAUUACGUGGCGAAAACAGAUAUAUUUUUUUUUUAAUAAUAAAUCACGGAUUUCUUUUCCAGAUGGAGUCGGUUACCAUUUCGAGAAAGCGGCAGGGAAUUAAUUAAAGAGAAGAAAGUUAAAUCUUCCCGCCGAGAGUAUUUAAACGGUCGCUUGUCGUCCGAGCUUUCAAGUUACGAGGAAAAGAGGAUGGUAGAGGAGGAGAAAAAGAAGGGAUGAAGAGCCUCAUUUGAUUCGACGCGAUUAUUAUUAUUAUACUCAUCUAUUUAUUGGCAAAAAAAAAGACCGGUAGUAUUAUUUGCUGGAGAUAAAAUGGAUCAUAUUUUAUCAGUGCGCUUACACUCUCGAGUCGUGUUUCCCGUACGCAUUACAUUUUGCCGAGAUAUGACAGAAAGCACUAUACCCAGAAAGGGACAAUAAUUCGGUAACUGGAACCUUGCUGACCGAGAUUGUCGGUGUAACCGCGCCUAACGGUGUGUUCUUCAAGGUAUCGUGCGCGGUUGAUCGUAUUAAGGGAUGUUAUGUGGGAUGUAGCGUGUGAGCACACUCACGCGCGGAGCAAGUGUUUUAACAUAAAAUAUGACUGUGACUAGUAAACAAUUUCUCCGUUUAAAGAAAACAGCUGAGUAAGAGCACAUAUGAAAUAGAGAAAGGCAAUACAAUGGGAAAGAAACCGAGAAGCAACGUGCGUUCACAUAUAAGUUAUUGGUUUACGAGAAAAGGAAAAUAAAGACAAUAUAUAUACCAGGAGAACUAUUUCCCUAUGGAUCGCGUGCCGCCGGAAGGCAUUUGCACAGAAGCGACAAGACAGACGCGGUAACAAGGCAAUGGCUCGACGUUAAAUUGCAGGUGAUGUGCGAAACAAGACAGCCAAGCUCUUGAAUGUCAAAGUGCUGACAUUCAUUGAGCGCUUCAAAUUUCCGUUUCUUCCUUUGAGCGCAUCACAAUCGCGCGCAGUAUCGAGAAUAAAAAGAAAAGAAAAAAAAAAAAAAGGAAUCCCCGUGCCGGAAACAAAAACGGCAGGUAGAGAUGCACACCCGGAUUCUUGUUUCCACCGGCUUUUCCAACCGGCCGCUCUUUCCGUUCUCUUUUAUGUUUCUUUCUAUUUUUAUUAUUUUUUUUUUUUCGCGAUCAUUUGACGACUGGACUACGGCCUCUUUCGAUCGUUAAAAAACCGUACCGUGUUCCGGAUACGGACGCGAUAUGCCUAUGCGAUUUUUAUUGUGUCCGAUAUCGCGGAGAGACCGACCAAUGCGGGGAUCGAAGCUGCAAUUCGAAACGCAGUCACGCGUUUCAUUGAAAACGUUCUUGCGUGAAGUGCACAAUAUGCGAAAUGUACAAUCGAAUAUGUCAGAAUUAGAGGCGUGUAUAGCGCGCAUUAUAGCUUGCAGAGAUUUCAAACAACAGAAUUUACUAUCGAGUUUCUAUC